rnacentral:rRNA from 1 species
ACCCGCUGAAUUUAAGCAUAUUAUUAAGCGGAGGAAAAGAAACUAMCAAAGAUUGACAUAGUAAGGGCGACUGAACUGUCACUAGCUCAGCAUGUGAAUCAGCGUUCGCUGUCGUGAGCGCUGAAUUGUGGUCUUUUGGUGCUUGCAACACUACGUCCAGUCCAUGUUUUUUGGAAUAAAACAGCAAAGAGGGUGAAACUCCUGUGCGACUGGACUUGCGAAGCAAGCACUACUGAGUCGAGUUGUUUGGGAUUGCAGCUCAAAUACGGUGGUAAAUUUCAUCUCAAGCUAAAUACUGGUGGGAGACCGAUAGCGUACAAGUACCGUGAGGGAAAGAUGCAAAGAACUUUGAAAAGAGAGUGAAAGAGUACCUGAAAUUGCUGAAAAGGAAGCGAACGAACCUAGUGAAAGCUGUGUCAUACUUUCCAACUUGCUCGCAACUUGGACGCUGUGGCUUGCCAAGUUCCACUGUAUCGCAGCCAGCCAGAGGUGCAAGCUGGUGGAGAAAAGCCCUCAUUUUCUUCCACCGACCGCACCUCCUGCAAUGCAGUGGAACCAAAUAGAUUUGUUUGCCCCGUCUAGAAACACGGACCAAGGAGUCUAACAUAUGUGCGAGUACAAAGGCAGCAUGCCUUGGUGCGCAAUGAAAGUGUCAGAGGCUGGAAUGCAGUUACAAGCAUUGCACAGUCCGCCGGCCUCCAUCCCUCGGGAAAAUGGUCUGAGUGUGAGCAUACAUGUUGGGACCCGAAAGAUGGUGAACUAUGCUUGAGUAGGGUGAAGCCAGGGGAAACUUUGGUGAAGGCUCGCAGCGAUUCUGACGUGCAAAUCGAUCGUCAAACUUGAGUAUAGGGGCGAAAGACUAAUCGAACUAUCUAGUAGCUGGUUCCCUCCGAAAUUUCCCUUAGGAUAGCUGCAAUCCAAUGCCAGUUUUGUCAGGUAAAGCGAAUGAUUAG